rnacentral:tRNA from 1 species
GCCUGGGUGGCUCAGUCGGUUGAGCAUCCGACUUGAGCUCAGGUCAUGAUCUUACAGUUUGUGGGUUCAAGCCCCGCAUCAGGCU